rnacentral:tRNA from 1 species
AGUGAGGUAGCUCAGUGGCAGAGCGCAGUUGUAGAAUCAUGUUUGUGGUUCAGACAGCAAUGGUAGCGCUAACCUCGGCAGAGGAUAGACAAUGUCGGCGGUUCGAUUCCGUCCCUCACUC